AACGUAGGAGACAAACGUUAUCCGGAGUUACUGGGCGUAAAGGGCGUGUAGGUGGUUGCGUAAGUCUGGCGUGAAAUAUCUCGGCUUAACCGAGGCAGGUCGUCGGAUACUGCGUAACUAGAGGACGGUAGAGGCGUGUGGAAUUCCGGGUGUAGUGGUGAAAUGCGUAGAGACCCGGAGGAACACCAGUGGCGAAGGCGACACGCUGGGCCGUACCUGACACUGAUGCGCGACAGCAUGGGGAGCAAACAGG
rnacentral:rRNA from 1 species